UGUUCUUCUUCUCUUUUCUCUGCGAUUUCUUAUUUCACCCAAAAUCAAUAGAUGAAACAGAAUCUUGAAGUUAAAAAUUGUAUCAAUGAAGAUGAAACUAAUAGUAUUGUGGUUGUUUGAACCCGGGAAGAAGAAGAUUGAGUUGUUGUUGUAAUUUAAAUUGGGGUUUUAAGAAUGAAAUUCAUGUUCUUAGGUGAAUUGAGUUUCUGUUAGAUGAAGAACAGAAGGGUUAUGGUUGAAUUGAAGUUCUGGAUUCGAUUUAGUGAUGAAUUGAAGAAUUAGGGUUUGUAACAAUUCUAAAAAUAUUCGGAAGAUGGAAUUGAAGGUUUGGAAGAAAGAUUAGAGAUGGGUUUUGACAGACUAAAUGAAUUAGGGUUUAUGCUGAAGAAUAAUUAGAGAUUGAAGAGUCGGAGUCUUUAUGGAACCAUUGAUGGUGUUGUUGUGAUGUUUUGCAUGAACUGAAUCAAGUCGGAAUAAAGAAGAAUUGGACUCAGUUACUUGAAUGAAGUUAUCUUGAGGUAAUUAUCUACCUAUGUAAAUUUAAUAAGUUAUUAUUACUGGAGUUAAAUUUGGUAGAUUGUUAAUAAGCUAAGAUUGAUUUGGAUAUGCAAUUCUGUAAUGAAAUUGUAGUUGUAGGUUAGUGGAUCUGUGGUGGUGAAAGAAUAUGUGGUUGAUUGUUCAGGUGCUGGUUUAAGGAAUUACUGUUAAAGACCUUUGAGCUGGAGCUGUGUUGAGUUGUGGUUAAGGUUGCAUUGUGUUUAGCCUAAGGGAGUUGGAAUGUGUUAGAAUGAUACAGAAAUUGGGGUUAUGAACUAGUGUUAAUGUGAAAUUGCAGAUGAUGAAAAUGAGUUAAUUGAUAGUUUGUACAGGUCGAUCUGAAUUGUAGAGUUUAGUUACAUAGUGGUGGUUCUGAGGUUGUUGGUGAGUUACAAGGAAUUGUUGGAAGUUGAAUCGAGUUACAGUGACGGAGAUGUAGGUGAUGGUCCUGUGCAAAGAAUGGAACUGAAGAUGCGGGUAGUGUUGGUUUAGUAAGUGCAGAAUUAUGGUGUUGUUAACAGAAUUGAAUUGCGAAGUUUAUAGGAUAAAUGAGAAUUCAGGGUAUGAGAUUGUAUUGCUAUGUAUGAUGAAUGUUGUGUUUUGCCGGAGUUGAGAUGAUAUUGGAUACAACCGGUGAUAUUGAAUUGGUUUGGUAGUUCAAUGAAGGAGGUGAGAUAAACUCAGUAGUGAUGUGUUGAUGUUAAGUUGGUUUGGUAUCAGUGAAGCUGUAAUGGUGAAUGAGUGAGUAGUCAUGGUGUUGGGAAAGACCUAAUUUAAUUGAACUGGUGGGGGUUAUAAAUGAGUUGUGUUGCCGAUUCUUUCAGGUGUUGGUAUGUGUUGGGUUGGGAAAGUAGAAAAGAUGUGGAAGUAGUGAGAAUCACAGUGGGGAGUAUAUUUGAGAGCUUGCAGUUACUGCGAUUGCAGUUAGACUUUAUUAACAACGAUCGAUUCAAAGGAUGAACCAGUGGAUCGUGGAUUUCGAGGUAGGCAUGGCUUGUCAUCAAAAGAGAAAUAACAGGUUCAUGUAAGAGAGACAUCGGAAGGAACCUAUUUUAGACUCGUAUCCCUUUUAGAAGACUGCAAGUUAUGUAAACAUUUCUUAGCAGAUGCUUUAUUUGGAGUAAUUUUCUUCAUGCACUGUAAUCCCACAUAAGAAUUAGUUUACUCAUUAAAACUGAGUUUUCCCUUUCCAAAUAUUUGCAUUGUUCCUGGGAUAGUAGAAGUGAUGCAACUAGUUUCUCGUUUUCAACACGAAUGUUGUUCAGAUCUGAUGAAUGA